rnacentral:rRNA from 1 species
AAGUCGGUUGUGAAAGCCUUCCGCUCAACGGAAGAACGGCAUCCGAUACUGCAUGGCUUGAGUGUGGGAGGGGAGAGUGGAACUUCUGGUGGAGCGGCGAAAUGCGUAGAUAUCAGAAGGAACACCGGCGGCGAAGGCGACUCUCUGGUCCAUAACUGACGCUGAGUGUGCGAAAGCUAGGGGAGCAAACGGGAUUAGAUACCCCGGUAGUCCUAGCCGUAAACGAU